AUAGUAAUCAACACUACAAGAAAAGUUGGCUAUGACGACGUUUGAAUCAAAGACGUUUUAUGAAACGCUGUGGUAUAUCUCAAUAGCCAACACGUUUUUCAAGCCAUGAUGCCCGUUGAUGGUCUGAAUGAGCCAGGUGGCGAUGAAGUGUAGAGAUCGGUUACAUGAACUUGUAAAGGAAGAGAUAGAGAAGAAGGAUUCGAGUACGGAGGAGUGGAAGAUCGCGAUGGAGAGUAGCUUCAAUCGCAUGGACAAUGAGGUGAUAUUGUGUGAACUUGACCAAUUUCUUGGUUACCAAACACACCAGUGCUCUGACUCUCCAGGUCUGUCCCUUCGUUCUAACACAGCUUCUUUCCUGUUUUAGUUUGGCAUUAGUGAUAUCUUAAAAGAACUGGGGACUCUUUAUUUGUCAUUGAAAUAUAAAGAAGAGGAUUUUUUCUACAUGAUGAUCGAGGAUAUGAUUAUUAAUUAAGGUUUUAACAUAAAAAUCAUUAAGGAAAAACUGUAAGUUUUAACAUUGAUAAUUCCUUGUAAUAUGUUAGUUCUUCAGUUUGGUCCUACAUCUAAUUGUUUUCAGAGCAUCAUUUGUGACAUGGUCUUGUGUCAUGACAUAGAGUUGUGUUUUGCAUGGUAAAUUCUUUAGAACUGUGAGUACUUUGUUGGAACACUAGCUCCCGUCUUGCCAUUUUUCUCCCUGAAGAACAUUUUACUAGCAUGAUGCUUAACUCAUAAAUCAUUCUUUUUGUUGCAUGAUGCAUAACUCAAAAUUGCAGGAUUGAGGAAAAUAAAUAUAUAUAAGAACUCAUCAUCUGUGGGGCACCUCUGUGAGAAAGUAUCUAAGCUAUACCCAAAACACUAAAAAUCGCUGGAUGGUUACCAAAAACUGCUCUAAUCUGGCUUCUUGUUGAGUAUUCAAAUCAAGCUUCUUCCUCUAUUUUGUCAGGGUUGAGAAAGAAAUAGAAGAGAGAAGAAAGAUCUCCUUUCACAAGGUUGGAAUAUCCGUGGCACCCCCAGUCAGUUUUCAGGACAUCGUUGCUUCCCACGGAGACUCUGAAGAGGAUAUUGUGGGGUGUCAGUUGCUUACAGAGGCAGUUAAGAAGGUGCAAAUUCAGGUAAAUUGGUCAUAAUGUUCAUGCAAUUACUCAUAUUGGCAUUUUUUCAUUGACAAACUAAUUCCCUGCAAGUUUGCAUCCUUUUGUUAUCUAUCCUUUCUCCUUUAGCACUGUAGGUUCUGUGACAUAACCGUACACUUUAGAUAACUAUUGCAUUGUCUGGUUUUGAAAUAUUCUGUCUAAAAAGUUCGAGUACGAAUCAUUGCUGAAAUUUCAAGUGCCCUUUUGUUCUUGCACUCGUUCAAACCUGAAAAGAUUGUACACGGCGACCUAAAGCCAGAAAACAUCCUUCUUGAUUCCAAUCUCAACUGCAAGCUAUGUGAUUUCGGGAUUUGUAGACUAAUGCCAGGAGAGACCCUCCGUUGCCCAAGUUUCCGGCGGUAUACCGAGCCAAAGGGUGCUUUCUCAUAUACUUGCCAAGGCUCAUCAAUUGUAAUAGGUGCUAUGUAGCAUUAACUGUUGUGUUGUGAUGCUUUUUAGCUUUCUAGAGAACACUACAAGGUUUUUCUUUUUUUCAUUCAAGUGGGAGCGUUGUGCUUGUGAGCAGGAUUGAUUAGCCUCAGUAAUGCUCAUGAAGAAUCUUCAAGUUGGUGUAUGCCCUAAGUGAACUACAAACUAAGCUUCAGAAGUGAUUGAAGUAGCUAAAUUGGAAUAGCCUUGUAGGUCCUAUUUGGACAGAGAACAGAAUUUUAUUUCAUUCCUGUGGUUUUUCUCGAGCAAGAUGAUUUAUUUAAUCUAGUGAAUUUUUGUGAAAAUCUUUUGCAGAACCGUACCUGACUCGGAUUAUUGGUGGUUUUGCUUUCAGGAGAUAAUGCACGAUCCUCAGGUGGCAGCCGAUGGAUUCACCUACGAAGGAGAUGCUCUGCGUGGAUGGUUGGAAAAUGGCCGAGAAACUUCCCCGAUGACCAAUUUGAGACUGGAUCACUUGCAUCUCACUCCCAACCAUGCACUGAGACUUGCUAUUCAAGAUUGGCUUUGCAAAGUUUAACAUACCAUUCGUAUACAUUCAGUCUAUGUCAUAAUGUAUAUUUGUAGAGUCUUCUUGUAUUUGGAGAAAAAAAAACCCUUUUACCAUUGUAUUUGGAUAACUAUUGAAAUAUUCUGUCUAAAGAGGACUGGGAGAAACAACAGGCUAAAGAGGUAGAGCAUUGCAUUGGCUUCUGUAUGCCAGUUGUAUCAAAAUCUUGUAUUGGUAUCACGAACUUUUUUUUAUGUAUUUUAUUUUAUUUGUAUGUUAA